CUUGUUAAUCAUCAGCCAGAGGACCAGUGGUGAAUUAAACAAGGAUUCCACCCAUGUGGCCUCCUCCAAGAGGGAAUAGCCUCUCCAGAACUAAUCUCUCCAGAAGCCAGGAAAGGAAGGUCAGCUUCUCACUCACCCAAGCCAAAACUCCAAAGGAGAAGAUCCAGGAGCAUUCUUACCAGAAGAAGUCCACCAUCCAGAGUCCCAGGUCAAAGUCCCAAGUUGUAUCUCCAAGACUGCCAGCUCUUCCUGAUUCCCAGUGCAGCAAAAUAAAUAAACAAAUAAAAAUAAAGAGAAAUUGCUAGAGAAAGUGCCUUUGCCCAGAAAACUGCAAAUGGGAACACGGAGUCAAAUGCAGCAAUAGAACCCCAACAACAGCAGGUAUUGUUUUAUUAUUUGUACUUGUAUUCUCAGCACCUAGAAUAAUACCUGUCACACAGC
rnacentral:lncRNA from 1 species